GUGAGACUUCUGAGGCCAGAGGAAAACUUGACUUCAGCCUCUGAGACCUCUAGCUAACACCUCCUUUUCCAAAAGAAUCUCCAAGACUUUCAGGCAAUACCAGCCAAGAAACAGCUUUUCAGACUCCAGUGUCAGCUCAAGGAGUGAAUCAGGAAGCCAGAAUCUGACGGAGACCUCAUGGCAGAAGGCCCAAGUCCAAGUCAGCUUCCCUCUGAGAUGCCCGAUCAAGACUCAGAUGAGCGACCUGGAGAGCAAGGUGAUCCCUGUGUGGAACAACAAGACCCAGUGGAAGUAGACGAGCCUAAAGAGUCAGGCCAGCCUGCCAGACCCAUUGCUUAUGUACGUUCGCAGAGGUCUGAGCCCACAGAGCCCACAGAGCCAGCCGGAGCUGCAGGACGUCAUGCUGGUAGAGGAAACGAUGAAGAACAAAGAGCUUACCCUGGAAGGCAGAGACGGAGGUGGAGGCAGAGGCAGAGGCAGAGGCAGUGGGCAGAGACAGGCAGCCACUCACAGGCAGCCUUCCAGGAGUGGCAGGAACCCUCUGAGGAACUGGUUCUACAGACAUACUUCAGCCACAGUGAAGAAACAGGGGCUGCCAUGAACCUGUAUCCCACCUUGACUCCAGUAGUCCCUGUGCCAGCAGGGAUGGCCCAGUGGCCACCUAUAGUUUAUGGGUACUGGGC
rnacentral:lncRNA from 1 species